CUCAAAAUGAUAUUUACCUGGUCCACACUGGCCUCCUUUUGGACAACACUUCAUCAGCUGUAAUUGUAUAUUACUUGUGUCAACCAAGGAGACUGUAAAGCAAUGAGAAAUAUUUAUUUGGGGUCUUAGGGAUUAUGAUUCCAGAAACACAGAGUUGACCUAAACUGAAAGCAUUCUCUGAACUGCCAGCUGAGUGCAGGCUUCUAAAGGCAAAACCCACAAGAUUACAUAACUUGUUUUGAAAGAAUUAUUAGUGCUGACAGAAUUAAACUAUCCAAUACCCAAUUGCCUAUGUAGCUAACAUGUUACAUCAUCUCUGUUUCAGUUCAAAGUGGGAUGUGUCCCAAAGGUGGUCAAGGUGCAAUCAACAAAAUUCAAGAAUUCACAGUGUUUGAAAAAUUGAAACAAAAGACAUGGAUAGGCCUUGCUUCCUCAAUAUCUUCCCGGAUCUUCUUCUGAAUGACUCUCUUAGCAAUGUUCACUUCACUUUGGAAUCUUCUCUCAUACUUGUAUGUACUUAAAAGAGAUUUCCUGUCCCUUUAAAGUCUUGUGGUCUGCGCAGUCGCCUUGAUGCCUGGCUCGCCUGCCUGGAGGAGGAAAGGUCCCUAAGUGUGCUGCUGCCUUCCUGCCCCAGAAUCCUUCAUCUGGCCUGGAGUCAGGAUUUGCCAGGUUAGGCUGGAAAGUAGGAAGGCCUGUCAGUUCAGGCAGGAGAGGGUAUGCUGGCAAUAUGCUUCCCACAAGAUCACCUUGUUUGGUGCAGAAGGACAAAUAUCAAGCAUGGGUCACAAAUAAUAGUGCUGAUGUUCAUCAAAGAAGAAAGUUUCUCUUAAUACAGGUGGAGUGUGCUUUAAGCCUGCAGAUGUGAUUUGCUUUGAACAAUGUUGAUAGACAGACUUAAUGUCAACAAGGGUUUGGGAUGUGCUAGCAAAGUAGAGCUUGCCUCUGCUAUUGCAAUGGAAAUUGCAUGCCCACAUCAGCCUAACAGUUCAAGAAAGAUGGUACUCAUGUGGAGAAUAUUCUGAAUCACAGAGGUGCCAUGGCCAACCAGCAGAUGUAUGAAUAUAAAGAUUUUUAUUUUAAGCCACUGAAUUCUGUUGUGGUUUGUUACCCAUCAUUACUUUAACAAUAGCUGACUGAUAUAACAGCAUAAUCCACAAAUAAAAAAAUUCAGAAAUAAAUCUACUACUCA
rnacentral:lncRNA from 12 species